rnacentral:rRNA from 1 species
AUUGAACGCUGGCGGCAGGCCUAACACAUGCAAGUCGAACGGUAACAGGAAGAUGCUUGCUUCUUUGCUGACGAGUGGCGGACGGGUGAGUAAUGUCCGGGAAACUGCCUGAUGGAGGGGGAUAAUUACUGGAAACGGGAGCUAAUACCGCCUAACGUCGCAAGAUCACAGAGGGGGACGUAAGGGCAUCUUGCCACUGGAUGUGGCGAGAUGGGAGUAGCAAGUAGGUGGGGUAAUGGCUCACCUAGGCGACGACCACUAGCUGGCAUGAGGGGAUGACCAGCCACACGGGAACUGAGACACGGCGCAGACACCGACAGGAGGCAACAGUGGAGAAUAUUGCACGAGGGGCGCAUAGGUGAUGCAGCGAUACCGCGUGUAUGAAGAAGGCCUUCGGGUUGGAGAGUACUUACAGCGUGGAGGAAGGGAGUAAAGUUAAUACCUUUGCUCAUUGACGUUACCCGCAGAAGAAGCACCGGCUAACUCCGUG